rnacentral:rRNA from 1 species
GACUACAGGGGUAUCUAAUCCUGUUUGCUACCCACGCUUUCAUGCCUCAGCGUCAGUUACAGUCCAGAAAGUCGCCUUCGCCACUGGUGUUCUUCCUAAUCUCUACGCAUUUCACCGCUACACUAGGAAUUCCACUUUCCUCUCCUGCACUCUAGAUAUCCAGUUUCAAAUGCAGCACCCAAGUUGAGCCCGGGUAUUUCACAUCUGACUUAGAUAUCCGCCUACGCAUCCUUUACGCCCAGUAAUUCCGGACAACGCUUGCCACCUACGUAUUACCGCGGCUGCUGGCACGUAGUUAGCCGUGGCUUCCUCCUUGGGUACCGUCAUUAUCGUCCCCAAAGACAGAGCUUUACGAUCCGAAGACCUUCUUCACUCACGCGGCGUUGCUGCAUCAGGGUUUCCCCCAUUGUGCAAUAUUCCCCACUGCAGCCGCCCGUAGG